ensembl:lncRNA
GCUGAGGCAGAACGUGAGGGCAGUGAACCUGACUACCUCAACCAACCAUGUGUAGAGUUGCGCCCCAGGCUUUCCCUCACAGUUUAGUAUCAUAGCUGGGUUUUGUUUUAUAAGUGCAGUCGGGAGUGCCCUUUAUAGCUUGAAAAAAAAUCUAGUUUUGACAGUAAUCGUUUUGUCUUUGAGUGGGCAGUGUGACGUGAGAGAGAGGACCGCAGUGAUGCAGUACGUGUACUUUUUUUUAAAGGGAUUACUCUUCCUCCCUUAAACAUGGAUCAAUGGUUCCAUAUUAGUCUAUACUCCAGCUCGUACCUUCUGGCAAUAUAACGCCUUUUAUGUUCUUCUCGCUAGUUUCAAAGGUACUCAAAGUGCAAAAAUGUGGACAUUUGCUUGGAAGGCAUUCUUUUAACUCCCAUUGAAAUUGGCAGAAAUCAUACCAGGUGGCAUAAUUGGCUGUUGUUUGAAUGGAAAGCGCUCUGGCACCAUUAGGAACAAAUCGGCAAAAGGUGAUAACUCGAUCAUAACUAAAGGCCUGGCCUAGAAACACUUGCCAACCAGCCGAGACACAGUCAGAUGGUAUUUUUAGUUUGAUUUAUUUUGAUCUGUAAUGAGAUUUUAGUAGGGCUGCAUGGAAUCCACUUUUUACAUGAGUGAUGAUUGUAUUCCUAAACUAAAAACCAUUGCCAAUACAGGACAGGGCCGUCACCAUCACAGGAUAAUGUAGUGGCUAGGGCGUUCUGGCGGUUCUGGGUUCGAUCCCGGGUAUAGAACAAGUGGGCUGAACAGCUCCAUCAGAAUACACCGUAAAUUUGUUUGGAAGAAAGCACCUCCUUAAUAACAUAAAAGUUUUAAAGGAAAGAUUAGCAUUGUCUCUUCAGAUCACAUUUUUAUAGAAUUUGCUUUCGGGGUGUUUUUUGUUGUUGUAAUAUCUGUUUGGUUUACUGUGAUGGAAAAUGUUAAAAUGUUUGUCUCUGGAGUAGCAGUGGCCUAUUUGAAUGUUUUACAGUUUACUUUUGCAUUUGAAUUUGAAAUUUAUUGUGAUCUUGUUUCAAAGAUCAGGAGUUAUAUUGUUUACUGAGUUGGUGCAAAGAGAGAAUUGUGCAGAACAUGCGUGCGCCAGUUUGGACUCCAUCAUGUAUUAAAAAAAAAUAAAAGUCCAAAUGGAGCCCUGGAUAAUAGUGCCUUCUUGUGAAACCAACCAAGAUAACAGUUCAUAACCAAAUCGAUUACACCAU